rnacentral:rRNA from 1 species
AGUGAACGCUGGCGGCGUGCCUAAUACAUGCAAGUCAAACGAAGUGGCGCACGGGUGAGUAAUAUAUAGUUAAUCUGCCCUACACAGAGGAACAACAGUUGGAAACGACUGCUAAUACCUCAUAGUGUAGGAUGAGACUAUAUCAUAUCAGCUAGUUGGUAAGGUAAUGGCUGACCAAGGCUAUGACGCGUAACUGGUCUGAGAGGAUGAUCAGUCACCUUGCAACUGGUACACGGUCCAAACUCCAACGGUAGGCAGCUGUAAGUAAUAUUGCGCAAUGGGGGAAUCCCUGACGCAGCAAUGCCGCGUGGAGGAUGACACUUUUCUGAGCGUAAACUCCUUUUAUCAGGAAAGCGGUACCUGUUGAGUAAGCACCGGCUAACGCCGUGCCAGCAGCCGCGGUAAUAC